AUGCUUCCAGUCCUCAUCUCGUUCCUGGGGGUGCAUUUUUUCCUGGGAGACAUCCAAGCACAGUCAGUUAUUCAGCCUGAUUCUUAUGUCUCUGUCUUCGAAGGCAACUCUGUGGCACUCAGAUGCAAUUGUUCCUAUGGUGGAGCUUCUUACCUCUUCUGGUACAUGCAUCACCAUGGCCAAGGCCUUCAGUUUCUCCUCAGGUACAUUUCAGGAGACCCUGUGGUUCAUGGCGUGAAUGGCUUUAAGGCUGAGUUUCAGAAGAGGAAGUCUUCCUUCCACCUGAAGAAAGCCUCUGUGCACCUGAGUGAUUCUGCUGUGUACUUCUGUGCUCUGAGUGUACAGUGUCUGGGGCUGCAGGGGGAGCUGAACACAAACCUGUAAGAUGC